GGUGUGGCUCAGUGGCAGAGCGCUUGCCUAGCACGUAGGAGACGCUGGGUUUAAUCCUCAGCACC
rnacentral:tRNA from 1 species